AAUGAACGUUGGCGGCGUGGAUUAGGCAUGCAAGUCGAGCGAGAACCGUAGCAAUACGGGGACAGCGGCGCAAGGGAGAGUAAUACGUGGAUACCUACCCUCGGGUCCGGGAUAGCUGCGGGAAACUGCAGGUAAUACCGGAUGACAUCUCCGGAUCAAAGGUGUGAUUCCGCCCGGGGAGGGGUCCGCGUCCUAUUAGCUAGUUGGUGAGGUAACGGCUCACCAAGGCUGUGAUGGGUACGGGGUGUGAGAGCAUGCCCCCGCUCACUGGGACUGAGACACUGCCCAGACACCUACGGGUGGUUGCAGUCGAGAAUCUUCGGCAAUGGGCGCAAGCCUGACCGAGCGACGCCGCGUGCGAGAUGAAGGCCUUCGGGUUGUAAAUCGCUGUCAGAGGGGAGGAAAUGCCGGUGGGUUCUCUCAUCGGUUUGACCUAUCCUCAGAGGAAGGGACGGCUAACUCUGUGCCAGCAGCCGCCGCCG
rnacentral:rRNA from 1 species